GCAGAACAGAUCCUAUUAAAUGAAUGUACCGCAGUUCGGUGAUCCAUCCUCCCAUGGACUAGCAUUUAGAUGUCUCCUCCGAGGUGAAACACUCAUCAAAUCAGUGGAGUGAACCAGAGACCUGCAUGGGGAAGGAGUUUCAUCUUUAUUCGUAACCUAUUACCCUGACUCACACAAACCCGUUUGCAUCCUGACUGUCAAGACUUCAGUGUGUCAGCCUCGGAGGAACGCCUUCUGAACCCCCACCUACCACCAUGUUUCCACUCCAAACUACACAGAGCCUUCGCCUGCCCACCUCCAGUUACCAAGUGGCUCAUUCACCAAACGGAAAAUAAUUAAUGAGCACUGAUGGCCAUCAUACAGUAACCAUGACAGGGGCUGGGGAGAAGGUUGUAGAACAGCUCUAUAGUAUCAUCCAAAUUUUGAGUGUGUGUGUGUGUGUGUAUGUGUAUGAAUGUGUGUGUGUGUG
rnacentral:lncRNA from 1 species